GUGCAAGAAGAUUCACAGGAUGUUGUGGGGAGCUAAAGGAACCAGUUUGCUGCGGUAAUUGUGGUAAUAGGAAUGUAUUAGCCUCAGAAGCUGCUGAGGUGGCCCAUCUCUAUCCUAGUGCAGGG
rnacentral:snoRNA from 1 species